rnacentral:lncRNA from 1 species
UUAUAUUUGCUAUGUCUGCAUUUAUGUGGAUUAUUUUCUUUAUAUUCCUCUGAAAUUAUUGCACAUUGUUCCUGAGUUUUUGAAAGGCUAACUGUAAUUUUGUCCUACACAGGUUCCUACAUGUACAAAAAUGAGCCAGAAGCUCAUCACUUUACCACUCUUGGCUGUUGCUCUGGGUCUAUUAUCUGCAAUCCCUCUGUUGGCAGAAGCUGUUACAUUUAUUGCUGAAGUUGCAACUUUGAACAGUGUAUCCACAACCCCCUCUGUACAGUUGAGCACCACCAUGGCCAGCACAACAGCAACAGAGAAAACAACAUCUCAAACAGAAGCAAUAACCAGUAAAGCACCCGAAUUUGCUUCAGAGACAACUCCUCUCAGAAAUGCAACUGGAUUCACAACAGAUUCCUCCAGUGGUGAUUCCACAUCUGUGUCGAAGAGCACCAUAUCUGAUCCUUCACCCACAGCCAUGUCAACAUCAACAGCCCAGGGGACUCAUGCAAUUACUACUGCAAUAAGUACAUCACAGUCCACCCACAAUCAGUCAGUAUCAACCCUGUUACCCAAUGUCACAGGGAGUAGUCCACUGAUCCCCACUUCAUUUUACUUCACUCUCACCACUCCCACUUUAGGUGAACAUUUUGGUCUCAGCUAUUCUGAAAAGGCUAUCACCAUUUUCCUCAGUAUUAUUCUUGGGGUGGCAGUUCUCGUGUUAUUCAUGUACAGCCUUAACAAAUGCAAGAAGAAGAAGACUCAGUAUGUACACCGACCCCUCUACAACAACCAUGAUGACACAGGUAGGAUAUUUAGCAUAUUUAAUUUCAAAUAUUUGAGUUUAAUUAUCAAAGUUCUGAAUACAGUAUGGUUGCUCCAUUUCAUAGAUAUUUCAAAUUGUGAAAGAAACACUUAAAUGUAAGUAAAUAUAAUCUUUGAUCUGAAAUAAAAUAAACCUGUUAAAAAAUACUCUGUAUAUAAUUGAUUGGAAUAACAACUCACUCCUAAGGAUCAAAUUACAUGGAGACUCCCAGGCAUGGCACUGUUGAGAAAGGUACUUCAUCUGAAUAGUCAGAGUAAAAUGCCCCAUUGUAUUCUGUAAAUGGGCUACAAAUGUAAGUGGUUUUUUACUAUAAAAUUAGCUAAGAGAGGUGCACUUCAAAAAUAAAUUUGUAAUUUUCUAAAAUACUGAGCUAUAUAUUCAAAACAUGGAGCCAUGGUAGCUCAGACAGAAAGGGUGUCUAGCACCUGACUGGAAGGACCUGGGUUCAAUCCCAGGUAGGGGUAAGUGAUGUAGCUUGCCCUAAUUCCUUCCAGAUGGCUCCCAGGUCCAUUCAGCCUGCUUUCCAAAUGAGUACUGGUGGUUAAUCCUUCCAGGGGUAAUAAGCCAAUGCUAAACACAUCACCUCCACCUUCAGUGUUAGAUGGUUAAGAAAAAUGGUGGCCCUUGCUCCCCAUUCUGCCCAUGGGUCUUUAUGGCCUACAGUACAUGUAUAUUCAAAACAUUUUCCUUUAACCUAAACAUAUGAAAUCCAAUUAAAUUUGAUGUGACCCAGAACAGGAAAUAUAGUGUUUUCCACCCCCAACAGUUCAAACCCCAUUAAUAUUACUCUUAUCAUUAAUAUUAUCAAAAAGCAUUUCUUUUACACACAAAUUUUAUUUUAUAGAUAUCCAGCUAGCAAAAGAGUUUGGGUUCAACUGCAACAUUUGCCAGGCAGAUUAAAUAAUUGUAUGACUGUUGAUAAUAAAUAAUUUGUAGGUAACUUUAAAUAAGAAAGUCUUUUGAAUAUUGCAGUCACAGUUAGAGGUAAAGUUAAAAGGAGAGCAAGAGCUGUAGGUACAGUGCAGAUAUUACAACCAUUCAGAAUCCUGUCUUUCUUGAGCACUAGUGGGAAAGGAGCAUGACAUCUGUGUCUAGGUGCUCCCUUCAUCCUGUAAAAUGUGUUAUGGAUUCAGUCCUAUAGCUUAGUUUAGCAUAAAAUUAAAAAAAAAUGUAAUUAUUCAGCUAAAAUUUUCACAGAUGUUUCUGGCUUGCCACGUGCAAUGCAAUAAUUUAAAAUCAUUAAAAAGUUCUGACAUUAGUGGUCUAUUAUGUUUGAGUUUUUACAUUUGCACGAUUGAUUACUCUUGCGUGAUUACUGUAACAUUUUGCUUUGAUUUUUUUUAUUUUUGAACAAUAGUCUGCAACCCGUAGCAUUAGAAAAAAUCUUAUUUAAUGGACUUUAUUUAUGGGCAACAUGAUCUUCCUAGAACCUGAUUGAUAAAAAAAAAAUCUUAUAAAGUUUUGAGGAAAAUAUAAAAAUAACAUAACUGCUUGACUAUUUUUUUUAAUUUAUAAACUAAAAAAGGACACUUAAUUAAAUGUACUUGUCAUAUAUAAUGGCUUUGUCAUGUCCAUACAAUAUAUAUUAAAUAUCAUUGUUUUCACAGUGAACAGGUACAGGACACCAGAAGACACCCUUGUGAUUUCAGGAGGACUAUAUGAUGGUCCUCAAAUCUACAACCCUAACAUGACAGUUUUGGAUGAGGAUGAUGAAUUCCAUUCAGAAAAUCCUGCUUUUACCAACCAACCUCCACAAUUCCGUCUGGAAUUCUUGUCUGAAGAACAAGAAAGGUCUCCUGACUUGGGAGUUAAUACCUUUGAAACCUUUAAUGCUCCAACUGAGGAAACAUAAUGCUUUCCAACCUU